UACGUAGGUGGCAAGCGUUGUCCGGAUUUACUGGGCGUAAAGAGCGCGCAGGCGGUCGUACAAGUCGGGUGUGAAAGCCCCCGGCUCAACUGGGGAGGGUCACGCGAUACUGGUCGACUCGAAGGCAGGAGAGGGAAGCAGAAUUCCCGGUGUAGUGGUGAAAUGCGUAGAUAUCGGGAGGAAUACCAGUGGCGAAGGCGGCUUCCUGGCCUGUUCUUGACGCUGAGGCGCGAAAGCUAGGGUAGCAAACGGG
rnacentral:rRNA from 1 species